GACAACUUGAAAACGGGCCUGCAAUCAAAGAAAAAAAGAAAAUCAAAGAGAAAGAACAGAAAAGCGUAAAGAA
rnacentral:ribozyme from 14 species